GUCCAACACGAGAAAUACAGUAAGUAAAGAUUGUGUCCACGUUCACCUCAUGGCAUCAAAGGUCGCCCGCUGCCAAUUGUUUGUGUACUGGAGUUCUCAGAAAAAGCUGCAACGAUGAAUCUUUGGCAGGUGGCAUGUACUUCAAAGAAGAAAGUGCUGCAACUAUCCCAGCUGGACCUGUGGGAUCUCCUGACCUACAUUCAUAGCCAGAAAAUGACAACCUAGCAACAUCACCUACUGUACAUCCUCUGCCAAGUCCCCUGCCAGCAGAGUGCCUCAUACCGCCAUCCCUGAAUACAGAGCUGGAGGAAAGAAACGGGGAGGACCACAUUAAAGAGCAGAGAGAAGGAAAGUAUGAGAACGGACAGGAAAGAUCAAGAGAUAGACCGGUCCUAGAGCCUUUUCCCGCUGACGUAGUCUUUCAGGCCACAGCGCUGGCACCUUCACAUCCUCAAUCUCCUUUUGCAUCUUGUCCUCACUCAGAUCCCAGAGCAACCCGAGGCGCACAACACUGAGAGUGCUAUCUGUCAAAUAUCUGACACAUUCAAAAAAGAAGCUAUGAUAGAGGCAUUUCAUGCGCGAGUGCGUGCUUGCGCGUGUGUGUUUGUGUAUUCAUGUGCCAUCCAGGUCGAACAUCACCUCCUUACCGUGCAAUCUCACAGAGGGCCCUCGUCCCCUGUCCCCUGGCUGGACAUUAGCAUUCAUAGAGCCAGUAGGCCGUGUCAUUCUCUAUGCCCGCCCCCAAUGAGAUGUGCUGAGAGGUUCCAGCUGCUUCCCGCGGGUCAUCUGCUCGGCCUCUCUCGCUUAGACAGUUCAAUGACCGCUGCAAUAUUUACGCAAUAGAUCACAAUUAUUACUGUAGUGUAUUGAUCGUAUGCAAAUGAGGCUAACCUUGUGCAGGGUCGGUAGCGAGGCUUCGUGCAGAAUGUGGGUUGUCGCCGCUGUUCUAGUUUUGGCUGUCUAAACACAUCGACUGUGAAAUCUCGCAUUUGCUUGCUUAAACAGCGAUAAAGAUCUUUGAGGUCAGGCCGUGUGUUGUUUCUGGUUAAUAUUUAAUUUGCUUAAUAUCUCUGAGAUCAUAAUAGGGAGAGAUUGUAAUCUCAUGUUUUUGUAUUCUGUUAAUUGUUUAUAUUUGUUUUGCAUUGCUCCAGUGUCUGCAUUUGCAUGCAUUAUUAACGCUUGCCAAAACGUACCACUAAAAGAAUGAUAGUUUUUGGUUGAUAGUCUAUAAAUAUGACAAUCAUUUAGUGCAAUAGUCUAUUGAAAGUUACCGUGGUAUUACCGUCUAAAUCCUUCACUGUGCAGUAUUUUUAUAAAGGUUAAGUUGUGGGGAAACAGACAUUUUCGUCAUUAUCUUGCAAAUGUUUCUGCUUAAUGCUUACUUAAACUGAGAUAUGGGCUGCCACCAUGCUUUUGAAAAUGAACUUCACUGUAGUAAAAUAUCGUUUGGCUGUAAGUGAGUCUGUGGUAAGUCUCUGUGGUAGAUCUGGCAGUGUGAAGGAAGUUGAUUUCCUGUCAGCGCUGUUCUCAGCAGAUGCCCGGUUGAGAGGACACAGACAGUGGGAACUACACUCCAUCUCCACUGCCAUGGCACAGGACACUGUCUGCCACUACUGCCCCCUGCCCACUUCAAUCAAUCACACAGCCAUUUGAAUUCAUUCCCCCUUGUUACUCAGACCCACCAUCUUGAUGUCAAGACAUUUAUGUCCUAGACCUUUGUUUCUUUGUCCUCUGCUCAAAGAAUAGAUAUAACAAACUUCCCUAAAAGUGUAUUUUAGUCCAUAUUGUCUGAUAUCACAGAGACAGGUUUCCUUUUGCCCCUGUGACAGCCCUGUACUUUGACUGUUUAUGAGAAAAUGCAUUUUUGCCAGUUGUUUUGCA